CCUACGGGCGGCAGCAGUGGGGAAUAUUGGACAAUGGGCGAAAGCCUGAUCCAGCCAUGCCGCGUGUGUGAAGAAGGCCUUCGGGUUGUAAAGCACUUUCAGUGGGGAAGAAAGCCUUGGGGCUAAUACCCUCGAGGAAGGACAUCACCCACAGAAGAAGCACCGGCUAACUCCGUGCCAGCAGCCGCGGUAAUACGGAGGGUGCGAGCGUUAAUCGGAAUUACUGGGCGUAAAGCGCGCGUAGGCGGUCUGAUAAGCCGGUUGUGAAAGCCCCGGGCUCAACCUGGGAACGGCAUCCGGAACUGUCAGGCUAGAGUGCAGGAGAGGAAGGUAGAAUUCCCGGUGUAGCGGUGAAAUGCGUAGAGAUCGGGAGGAAUAUCAGUGGCGAAGGCGGCCUUCUGGACUGACACUGACGCUGAGGUGCGAAAGCGUGGGUAGCAAACAGGAUUAGAUACCCGAGUAGUC
rnacentral:rRNA from 1 species